CCGAUCUAAUAAUGCUAAAUCCUUCAAUAGAAUUGAGUAUAAAAAACUGAGACAUUUUAUUUCGUGUGAAACAGUUGCUCUAAGUAGGCUAACAUAAUGCAUUAAAUUCUGAUAUAUUUUAUGUUAUUCUACCGGUUUGCCGUGCCAACUCUGCAUGGGGUACCUGUGAGAUGCGUUCUAAGAAGAAGAUGGGAUUCAGGCUCUGGGGUUGUUAAUAAAAAAGCCAGACAUGUGUUGAAGAAAAUAGAAUAUGAUGUGAAACAGUUAGAAAAUUAUAAAGAUUUGCUUAGCAUGCGUUUGCUGAGAAGAAUAAAAGAAGUCUUAAAGCCCAUGAAGACAAGAUCACGGCGUAAAGUUAUUCUGGAUAAUAUAUAUAUCAUAAGUUAAAUGUUCACGUAAUGAAAAAACCAUUUUUGUAAAUAUUUUUCAAAUAAUAGGCAAUUAUGCUUCUGCAUCCCAUUUUUUUUUAGAAAAAAACAAACACAAAAAGAAUGAUAGAAAGAACUGAAAUAGGUACACAAUUUUCACGUUGACAUCUCUGCAAUCAGCUGGAUUCACAUCUUUUAAUAUUGGUUACUAAUGGUUAAUUUUCAUUUAAACUUGUAAUUAAAAAGACCAGUUAAUUAAAAGCCGAAUUUUUUGUUAAGAUAAUGGUAAUUACUAUCAAUUAACUGAUCGCCUGAAUAUGUGGUUUUUGUCACCAGGCAAAAUUUUUGAUUUAAUCUCAUCAGAUCGCUAUCGAAAGUUAGAACCAACCUUCUCUAGACCAUAUGGAAAUAUAACAGAAUAUUACUGUUUUUAAUAACAUUUCAACGUCCUUAUCUUUUGUGUUAUACAGAUUAUGCUUUGAUUAGGACAAAGCCAAUGUUUCUGUAUACAUGUCAUGAGAAAAUAUUCGUACAAUAUUUAAAACAGGGCAUAUAGGGGCCCUUUUGUCAACCGAUUUAUUAAAUCCUUCUCUAAUUACAUUUUGGUAGAUUCGUACAUCGCUUAUGUCAGCACUUUUCCUGUGACGCCCCCAAGUAACGUUUUUUUAUAAUAACUCCUUAAUGCUAUGUUACCCUUCAGAGGCUUUGAUAUUUGCUAUUACUCGAAACUACCCCUAAAAAUCUCUAUGAAACCUUUAUAAUGAGGAAAGUACAAUAACUCUUAUCAAGAUUAUCCUUAGAACAUGAAACUUAAGACACAACUUUGUUUCAUCAAGAAGAAUCUAUCCCCAUCUUUUGGACACGUGAUUAAUCUGAUUUCCCGAUUUUUGCAGAUUUUACCCGAAAGUCGUACUUAAACGGUUUUUUGGGCAAUUUUGGGCAAUUUAUCAUGCAAUCUAUGUAAAAAUCGGAAAAUAUGUUAAACAAUGUUUAAUUAGCUUCCAGAAACUUCAAAAAGAAUGUAAAAAUUCGCUCUAGAACUAAAGUCAUUGAAUUUUAAGCAGAUAGUGACAUUUUAAACAAAAGCUUUUGAUGACGUCACAGAGAAUGUGCUGCCGCAAGCAAAAAUUUAUUGUGGCCAUUUUGUUCCUUUUGUGACGUACUAUAAGUGUGCUAACUUUGAUUCAAUUUGGACAAGCGUAUGAGAAGUUAUUAAGGGGGUAGAUUCCGCCCACCGUUAUAUUAUGUUCGAAAAACCGCGGACCAAAUAGGGUAAACCUAUUGAAAAAAGCCAACAUUGCCCUAAAAUUGGAUUCCUUUCCAAGCACACAAACAUGUUGUUGCUAAUAUAUUAUUAUAUAAUUUAUUAUUUCAUUACCCAUUCUCAUUCUACAAAAAAAACCCAGCUGAAAUAUACAACUAACCUGAAAACAAGGUUAGUUUAGAGAAAUAAUUUUCCACCGAAAGUGAUGCACACUUCGUAGUUUGUUUACCGUUAUUAUUUCUCAAACUAAGCACUCAAAUGAGCUAAUCAUUAACGUUUGGUAAAAGAAAUAAAACAUGGCAUUUGUUUCCUACCCAUUGGGCUUAUUCAAUUUGCUAGAUUGCAUUUUUUUCUAAUGCUUAGCUAGCUAUAGUUAUUUGUUUUAGAUUUCAUAUUUUACACUGGAAUUAUUGCCUUCUACCUAGCUAGCUAGUUGAGGCAUUAUUAAAACACAAUUUUGUAUUUGUUGACAUAUAUACCGCAUCUGGUGUUAUUGGAUAUUUUCAUUUUUUGGAACAUCUGUAAAUAACAUUAUGACUGGGCUGCCCUGAGUAUGUUGUUGGAUUUGGGUAUGGUGGUCGAGGUAGUGGGCUAUACUUUUAAAUUCGGGUAAAAAUCCCCUUUUACUUUAGUAAAAAGUAUUAUAAGUAAUUAUGUAUCAAAAAAUUGAAGUAAUUUACUGCUAGCUAGCUAGCUACAUUUUAAAUCACGCUUCAUAUAGGACUACUAAGAUUGUUUUUAAAUUAAUGGAUGUCCAAUUUGGGUGCGUGCGUAGCAAUAAAAAUUGUUGUGGCGUGCUCUUAAACAAAAUCUGAUAAAAGUAAAAUUAAACUUUUUUGUAUUUAACUUACUUCAUGAGUUUUAGAAGUUAUGCAUUCUAAAUGAGUGCGGUAUUUAAAGGAAAUUGUGAAAUUUAACCAAUCAACAAAAAGGCAGUUUCUCGGCAAAUGAUUAUUUGAGAAACUAUAUGAAUCUGACAUGACUUUUAAAACCACAUGUUGUUUCUGCCUAAUAACAUUUUGGUCAUUCAAGCUAAAAACACAAAUUUGUAUGUUCUCUGACCUGGCAAGCCAAACAAAAAGAUUCAAGUAGUUAUUCUUCAUUAUGACUUACACGCAUUAUACUCGACCGUCAUGAUCAGAGGUCUGAUCGGGGUGAAGCAUUCUCUGAUGAGAAUGAAAUACGGAUGUGCUAUGACAAAUAUUCACCUAUAAAAAGAUUCAUGUUUACCACUGCCAUAUCAACAUAGCAUUGUAAAAGACCUAAUUUUAUUCCAAUGAACUCGGCACUUUUAAGUCAAUUCUAUAAAUUUCUAUAAAUAUAAUAUAAUUAUUAUAAUUAAUAAGAGCAAUAUCGUAACAUUUGAAUUUCUUUUUUCAUAAAACAAGUACGUCUAAUCAGCUUGAAGAUUAACAA